ensembl:lncRNA
AGCAAAAUAUGCCACCUCUCACUGAUGUGUCCAGGUCAACAUUUUAAGUAUGGUAUUGCUGCAAGACAGUUCUCCUCAGUGGGAGAAAACAUGGCAUGGCCAAGCUUUGAUCAAGUGCGCAGCUAUCAGGCAAGCACACAACAAAAUCUCCACUGGCAAAAGAAGAAAAACAGCAGCUCUUGGAUUUUCAUUGCCUGAUUUGCAGAGGGUCUGAGCUUUCUGUUAUUGUACUGUAAUGCUCAAUAAGAGAAAAUCUCAGAACUCUGCUCUGGCGCAACCUUGUUCUCAAAGGAAAGAAACCGUUAAAUAUUGAAAGAUGUUCUCAGAUUUGUUUUUUUGUUUGCUGUUUUAUAGUUAUAUUAUUUUCAUGUAAUAUUUUUGAAGGUUGCAUGUUUUUUUAUUGCCUCCCUUAUAUAUUCCAGGGAUUACCUGUCUAGUAAUCUUACUAGUCUGAAACCAGUACCUGGUGCGUUAUUCUACUAGCUAAAAAAUGGAAAAAAAAAAAAAAAAUAAGGAUGACCUGCUGGCCCAGAGCUGGUGUGAGUAAGUUUUGUGCUAGUCGAUAGAAACAUCUUUUUGUAGUUUCAGACAGUGCUGAACUGAGAAUAAAAAUCUUGCAUUUCUUUAUUUUGUAGGUCCA